AGAUUGAGCAAUCCAUGGAAGGCCAGAGCCAGAGAACCUACUUCAGGGUAGCAAAAGAUGCAGAAGAAAGUCAGGAGAGCGCUCCUGGGGGAACCCAGCCCUGCCAUGCUCUGAGGGCAGUCUCCCAGGACACAGAUGACAGGAAAUGACCCACCCCUGUGGUCACUUACUCCAAAGGCCUAGACCUUCAAAGUGCUCCUCGUGGAAUGGAUGAGUCUGCAAAGACCCUGCCACCACCGUGCCUCUGUUUUUGCUCCGAGAAAGGAGAAGAUAUGAAAGUGGGAUAUGAUCCCAUCACUCCGCAGAAGGAGGAGGGUGCCUGGUUUGGGAUCUGCAGGGAUGGAAGGCUGCUGGCUGCUACCCUCCUGCUGGCCCUGUUGUCCAGCAGUUUCACAGCGAUGUCCUUGUACCAGUUGGCUGCCUUGCAAGCAGACCUGAUGAACCUGCGCAUGGAGCUGCAGAGCUACCGAGGUUCAGCAACACCAGCCGCCGCGGGUGCUCCAGAGUUGACCGCUGGAGUCAAACUCCUGACACCGGCAGCUCCUCGACCCCACAACUCCAGCCGCGGCCACAGGAACAGACGCGCUUUCCAGGGACCAGAGGAAACAGAACAAGAUGUAGACCUCUCAGCUCCUCCUGCACCAUGCCUGCCUGGAUGCCGCCAUUCUCAACAUGAUGAUAAUGGAAUGAACCUCAGAAACAUCAUUCAAGACUGUCUGCAGCUGAUUGCAGACAGCGACACGCCGACUAUACGAAAAGGUAAUGACCGGCCAUCCUCUGUGUCUGAUUAGGAUUCAGUCCAGCGUGGCUGAUGCUUGAACUUACACAUUUGUUCCAUGGCUUCUCAGCUUUAAAAGAGGAAAUGCCUUGGAGGAGAAAGAGAACAAAAUAGUGGUGAGGCAAACAGGCUAUUUCUUCAUCUACAGCCAGGUUCUAUACACGGACCCCAUCUUUGCUAUGGGUCAUGUCAUCCAGAGGAAGAAAGUACACGUCUUUGGGGACGAGCUGAGCCUGGUGACCCUGUUCCGAUGUAUUCAGAAUAUGCCCAAAACACUGCCCAACAAUUCCUGCUACUCGGCUGGCAUCGCGAGGCUGGAAGAAGGAGAUGAGAUUCAGCUUGCAAUUCCUCGGGAGAAUGCACAGAUUUCACGCAACGGAGACGACACCUUCUUUGGUGCCCUAAAACUGCUGUAACUCACUUGCUGGAGUGCGUGAUCCCCUUCCCUCGUCUUCUCUGUACCUCCGAGGGAGAAACAGACGACUGGAAAAACUAAAAGAUGGGGAAAGCCGUCAGCGAAAGUUUUCUCGUGACCCGUUGAAUCUGAUCCAAACCAGGAAAUAUAACAGACAGCCACAACCGAAGUGUGCCAUGUGAGUUAUGAGAAACGGAGCCCGCGCUCAGAAAGACCGGAUGAGGAAGACCGUUUUCUCCAGUCCUUUGCCAACACGCACCGCAACCUUGCUUUUUGCCUUGGGUGACACAUGUUCAGAAUGCAGGGAGAUUUCCUUGUUUUGCGAUUUGCCAUGAGAAGAGGGCCCACAACUGCAGGUCACUGAAGCAUUCACGCUAAGUCUCAGGAUUUACUCUCCCUUCUCAUGCUAAGUACACACACGCUCUUUUCCAGGUAAUACUAUGGGAUACUAUGGAAAGGUUGUUUGUUUUUAAAUCUAGAAGUCUUGAACUGGCAAUAGACAAAAAUCCUUAUAAAUUCAAGUGUAAAAUAAACUUAAUUAAAAAGGUUUAAGUGUGAAA